rnacentral:rRNA from 1 species
UACGGAGACUGCGAGCGUUACUCGGAUUCACUGGGCGUAAAGGGUGCGAAGGCGGAUAGGUGUGUUAGGUGUGAAAUUUUGAAGCUCAACUUCAAAACUGCGCCUAAAACUAUCUAUCUAGAGUAUUGUAGAGGUAAGCGGAAUUCCUAGUGUAGCAGUGAAAUGCGUAGAUAUUAGGAGGAACACCAAAGGCGAAGGCAGCUUACUGGGCAAUAACUGACGCUAAAGCACGAAAGCGUGGGGAGCAAAAGGG